GAUGAACGCUGGCGGCGUGCCUAAUACAUGCAAGUCGAGCGAACAGACGAGGAGCUUGCUCCUCUGACGUUAGCGGCGGACGGGUGAGUAACACGUGGAUAACCGACCUAUAAGACUGGGAUAACUUCGGGAAACCGGAGCUAAUACCGGAUAAUAUAUUGAACCUCAUGGUUCAAUAGUGAAAGACGGUUUUGCUGUCACUUAUAGAUGGAUCCGCGCCGCAUUAGCUAGUUGGUAAGGUAACGGCUUACCAAGGCAACGAUGCGUAGCCGACCUGAGAGGGUGAUCGGCCACACUGGAACUGAGACACGGUCCAGACUCCUACGGGAGGCAGCAGUAGGGAAUCUUCCGCAAUGGGCGAAAGCCUGACGGAGCAACGCCGCGUGAGUGAUGAAGGUCUUCGGAUCGUAAAACUCUGUUAUUAGGGAAGAACAAAUGUGUAAGUAACUAUGCACGUCUUGACGGUACCUAAUCAGAAAGCCACGGCUAACUACGUG
rnacentral:rRNA from 1 species